rnacentral:rRNA from 1 species
CAAGUAGGCGGUCUAUUAAGUGAGGGGUGAAAUCCUGCGACUCAAUCGCAGAACUGCCUUUCAAACUGGUAGACUUGAGUCUGAAAGAGGGAAACGGAAUUAGCAGUGUAAGGGUGAAAUCUGUAGAUAUUGCUAAGAACACCGGCGGCGAAGGCGGUUUCCUGGUUCAGAUCUGACGCUAAAUUGCGAAAGCUAGGGGAGCAAACAGGAUUAGAUACCCUGGUAGUCC